ACCAAAAGGAGGACCCCCUGAACUUCAUCUUCUUCUUAACUUUGAGCACCCCUUUCUUCUUCACCUAAAAACGAACCAACGACCUAAGCUUCAUCAACUCUAACCAGUCGUUUCCCUCAACUGAAAACAAAACCAAUCAGCCGAUAAACACUCACCCACACUAAGAAGAGGGAUACAAAACAGACAGAAAUUAAAAAGGUUGAGCUUAGUUCGAGUUUGUCGAUGAGAUUCGAGUUCCUCCGGUGAAGUUUGGUCAAUCUGUUGCCUGCCGAGCGGUGAAGACUCUGUUUUGUCCUUGCGCAACAUUCUCAAAUAUCGCAUCAGUAGCCAAUAAGAAGCCAAUAUCUUCUACAGAAGCUUGUAAUGAAUUUUUGUCUUAUUCUUUAGUGUAUGUUGUUGCUAUACAUGUUGUAUCAGAAUAUAGAAAGAAACUCCUCAGAAUGUUCAACCUUAAGGGAAGCUUCGUCGAUGACAUUUCUUCAUAUUUUCUUGCACUAACAGAUGAUUAGAUUUUCA